UACGAAGGGGGGCUAGCGUUGCUCGGAAUCACUGGGCGUAAAGCGCACGUAGGCGGCUUUUUAAGUCAGGGGUGAAAUCCUGGAGCUCAACUCCAGAACUGCCUUUGAUACUGAGAAGCUUGAGUUCGGGAGAGGUGAGUGGAACUGCGAGUGUAGAGGUGAAAUUCGUAGAUAUUCGCAAGAACACCAGUGGCGAAGGCGGCUAACUGGUCCAGAUCUGACGCUGAGGUGCGAAAGCGUGGGGAGCAAACAGGG
rnacentral:rRNA from 1 species